rnacentral:rRNA from 1 species
UACAGAGGGUGCAAGCGUUAAUCGGAAUUACUGGGCGUAAAGCGCGCGUAGGUGGUUUGUUAAGUUGGAUGUGAAAUCCCCGGGCGUCAACCUGGGAACGUGCAUUCAAAACUGACAAGCUAGAGUAUGGUAGAGGGAAGUGGAAUUUCCGGUGUAGCGGUGAAAUGCGUAGAUAUCGGAAGGAACACCAGUGGCGAAGGCGACUUCCUGGACCAUUACUGACACUGAGGCGCGAAAGCGUGGGGAGCGAACAGGAUUAGAAA